rnacentral:rRNA from 1 species
CAGCCAUGCCGCGUGUGUGAAGAAGGCCUUCGUGGUUGUAAAGUACUUUCAGCUGUGAGGAAGACUGCUGUGGUUAAUACCCUGCGGCACUCAUGACGUUAGCUGCAGAAUAAGCACCGGCUAACUCUGUGCCAGCAGCCGCGGUAAUACAGAGGGUGCGAGCGUUAAUCGGAAUUACUGGGCGUAAAGCGCGUGCAGGUGGUUCAUUAAGUCAGAUGUGAAAGCCCGGGGCUCAACCUCGGAACUGCAUCUGAUACUGGUGAGCUAGAGUACUGGAGAGGAGGGUAGAAUUUCAGGUGUAGCGGUGAAAUGCGUAGAGAUCUGAAGGAAUACCAAUGGCGAAGGCAGCCCCCUGGACUCAUACUGACACUCAGAUGCGAAAGCGUGGGUAGCAAACAGGAUUAGAUACCCUGGUAGUCCACGCCGUAAACGAUGUCUACUAGUAGGUUGUGCCCUUGAGGAGUGACUGACGCAGCUAACGCGUUAAGUAGACCGCCUGGGGAGUACGGUCGCAAGAUUAAAACUCAAAUGAAUUGACGGGGGCCCGCACAAGCGGUGGAGCAUGUGGUUUAAUUCGAUGCAACGCGAAGAACCUUACCUACUCUUGACAUCUAUAGAAUCCUGCAGAGAUGCAGGAGUGCCUUCGGGAACUCUGAUACAGGUGCUGCAUGGCUGUCGUCAGCUCGUGUCGUGAGAUGUUGGGUUAAGUCCCGCAACGAGCGCAACCCUUAUCCUUGUUUGCCAGCGAGUCAUGUCGGGAACUCCAGGGAGACUGCCGGUGAUAAAUCGAAGGAAGGUGGGGACAACGUCAAGUCAUCAUGGCCCUUACAAGUAGGGCUACACACGUGCUACAAUGGUCGCAUACAAAGGGCACUACGCUAGCGAUAGAUAGCGAAUCCCAAAAAGUGCUUCGAAUUCCCGAAUUGGAAUUCUGCAACUCGACUCCAUGAAUUCGGAAUCCGCUAGUAAUCCGUGAAUCAGAAUGGUCACGGUGAAUACGUUCCCGGGCCUUGUACACACCGCCCGUCACACCAUGGGAAUUGGUUUGCCCAAAAAGUGGGUAACUUAACCUUUUCGGGAAGGAACCUCCCACUUUUGGG